GGUAGGAGCAAUCCCUUGGGGCCAAGCUUCCAUGCCUAACCUCACUUCCCUCUGCCUUCCUCCAGCAGGUGCCUCUGCAAAGCUGCAAAGCUUAAAGACCCACAGGUAGAAAAAUCCACCAUGUGCACACCCCACUGCUUUAAUCUCCAGGGCACCACUUAACCUGGAGGUGUGUUUAUUGAAGAGACACCAGGCAGUGGUUCUGAAGGCUGUCAUAGGGAUCGACCCCCCCUUAGGAAUGAACGCAUUAUGAACCAACCUUAAAUCUGCUAUACACAUGUGCUGUUGCUGGGGGCCACCCUGGCAGGCUAAGACCUUCUGAGGCGGGGCCUGAGUCCCAACUUCUCCCCCUGUCUUGUCCCGUCUCCACUGUUCAGUACAGGCGUGUUGAAUAAAUGAAUGGAUAAACACUGA